rnacentral:rRNA from 1 species
GAUGAACGCUGGCGGCGUGCCUAAUACAUGCAAGUCGAGCGGAAAGGCCUCUUCGGAGGUACUCGAGCGGCGGACGGCUGAGCAACACGUAGGAAUGUACCCCAAAGUGAGGGAUAACUGUUCGAAAGAGUAGCUAAUACCGCAUGUGAUCCACGGAUUAAAGCUUUAUGCGCUUUGGGAACAGCCUGCGUAUGAUUAGUUAGUUGGUGAGGUAAUGGCACACCAAGACGAUGAUCAUUAGCUGGUCUGAGAGGAUGAUCAGCCAGACUGGGACUGAGACACGGCCCAGACUCCUACGGGAGGCAGCAGUAGGGAAUCUUCCACAAUGGACGAAAGUCUGAUGGAGCAACGCCGCGUGAGCGAUGAAGGCCUUCGGGUCGUAAAGCUCUGUUGUUAGGGAAGAACAAGUAUCGGAGUAACUGCCGGUACCUUGACGGUACCUAACCAGAAAGCCACGGCUAACUACGUGCCAGCAGCCGCCGCGG